UCGGGCUUAGUGGCGAACGGGUGCGUAACGCGUGGGAACCUGCCCUUAGGUCCGGAAUAACAGUUAGAAAUGACUGCUAAUGCCGGAUAAUGUCUUCGGACCAAAGAUUUAUCGCCUUUGGAUGGGCCCGCGUAGGAUUAGGUAGUUGGUGUGGUAAUGGCGCACCAAGCCGACGAUCCUUAGCUGGUCUGAGAGGAUGAUCAGCCACACUGGGACUGAGACACGGCCCAGACUCCUACGGGAGGCAGCAGUAGGGAAUAUUGGACAAUGGGCGAAAGCCUGAUCCAGCAAUGCCGCGUGAGUGAUGAAGGCCUUAGGGUUGUAAAGCUCUUUUACCAGGGAUGAUAACGACAGUACCUGGAGAAUAAGCUCCGGCUAACUCCGUGCCAGCAGCCGCGGUAAUACGGAGGGAGCUAGCGUUGUUCGGAAUUACUGGGCGUAAAGCGCGCGUAGGCGGCUAUCCAAGUCAGGGGUGAAAUCCCGGGGCUCAACCCCGGAACUGCCCUUGAAACUAGGUGGCUAGAAUACUGGAGAGGUGAGUGGAAUUCCGAGUGUAGAGGUGAAAUUCGUAGAUAUUCGGAAGAACACCAGUGGCGAAGGCGACUCACUGGACAGUUAUUGACGCUGAGGUGCGAAAGCGUGGGGAGCA
rnacentral:rRNA from 1 species